UACGUAGGUGGCAAGCGUUGUCCGGAUUUAUUGGGUUUAAAGGGUGCGUAGGCGGCUUUGUAAGUCAGUGGUGAAAUAUGGCAGCUUAACUGUCAAGGUGCCAUUGAUACUGCGGAGCUUGAGUACAGAUGAGGUAGGCGGAAUUGACGGUGUAGCGGUGAAAUGCUUAGAUAUCGUCAAGAACACCUAUAGCGAAGGCAGCUUACUAGGCCGUAACUGACGCUGAGGCACGAAAGUGUGGGGAUCAAACAGG
rnacentral:rRNA from 1 species